rnacentral:rRNA from 1 species
UACGUAGGGGGACAGCGUUGUCCGGAUUUAUUGGGCGUAAAGAGCGUGUAGGCGGCCAGAUAGGUCCGCUGUGAAAACUCGAGGCUCAACCUCGAGAUGUCGGCGGAAACCACUUGGCUAGAGUCCGGAAGAGGAGAGUGGAAUUCCUGGUGUAGCGGUGAAAUGCGCAGAUAUCAGGAAGAACACCUAUGGCGAAGGCAGCUCUCUGGGACGGUACUGACGCUGAGACGCGAAAGCGUGGGGAGCGAACAGG